UUAUCUUUUCAUGGACAUGCCCUGCCUGGGAUUUCUGAAUUGCCUAAAAUGUCCUGGUUUUGGCAUUGUUUAUUAUUGACUCUCCACAGUUCUCAUAUACUACAUGUAUGCAUAUUUGCAAUGGUUUGGCCAAUCUCUGUAGAUCCCGCCUUCUCACACACUACCAUUGGUUGAUUAUGCACAUGUCUACUUGCUUUUUCAAACUACUUUUCAGUCAUUACCAUCAGCAUGUAUGCAAACAAUAGGAAAACAAAGUAAAUAGGUGGACAUUUUAUGUAAUCCCAUGCAGGAAAAAAAAGAGGACUCAAGGACAGCCUAUCAAACUUACUCCAAAAAUGCAUUUUUUGUGAACAGAAAGCUGGAGGUACAGAAAUGCUCUGCAGCACUGCCUAUACAUGAGCACACAUGCCAAGGGAGAGGAAAGAGGACAAGUCCUCAAACGUGACCACACAUACAAACUCGCUGGCUUGAAGCAGGCAGCUGGAGGGUGGAGAGGUUGAAGUCUCCACAGUCUCGGCCUGAUUAAAACUCCCAGCACUGCCUCUCACUCCCCGUGGAUUGAUUAACCUGACCUGUAUCGGAUCAACCUCUCGGGACACAAGCGCAGCACACUUUCCUGAAGUGGAUGAGAGGAACAGCAAUGGGGUGGGAGGAGGCAAGAGAGGUGGAAAGGAGAGACUAAAAACGGGAGAUCGGCAAAAGUGGACCGUGCCGGAAGAGAAGCAGAACAAGCCAGACCAGACUUGCAGGUCUGCAGGGUUCGAGGAAGAUGAUGAGCACCUGGCUUGAAGCGAAAAAUCACUUUAUCCACUAGCACCUCAGCCAAGUCACAUCCCCAUGACAACCACGAGCCAAUGAGAUGGCUGCCACUUGGGUCACACAAGCCUCCCACAGCACUGGACAAUACGUCCGAGAGGAAAUGCUCUGGCUCUCAUCUGAGAGAUACACAGCUCUGUUCAUCAGGUUUUAAAAAAUGAUCUGUGUGCCGUUGUGUCCACCAAAUGCCAUAGUUACUGGAGUUGAUGCAACUAUGAAACCACAGUAAAAUAAAAUGGCAUUGCCUUUAUG